rnacentral:rRNA from 1 species
UACGUAGGGGGCAAGCGUUGUUCGGAAUUACUGGGCGUAAAGGGCGCGUAGGCGGCACGACAAGUCGGGAGUGAAAGCCCGGGGCUCAACCCCGGAAUGUCUCUCGAAACUGUCGAGCUAGAGUGCAGAAGAGGCAACUGGAAUUCCCAGUGUAGCGGUGAAAUGCGUAGAUAUUGGGAAGAACACCUGAGGCGAAGGCGGGUUGCUGGGCUGACACUGACGCUGAGGCGCGAAAGCCAGGGGAGCGAACGGGG